UCCUUAACUUCUUCUGUGCUACAACCUGGUAAUGCUAGGGUUGCAUUAUUUACAUACAAAAUAACUAAGACACGAGUAAUAAAUAGCUGAGAAUUUGGAGAGUAAAUUGCACACUGCAAAAACCUACUCUACAGUGAAUAUAUUGCAAUUUAUUUUGGACCCUUUUGUUAAGAAGUCACUGCUAAUUGAAUCUCCCCUUCUGUUAUUGGCAAGAAUCCUACACGUUUCUGCAUUCCAUAACAACGAAGAAAAAUAAAUCAGCAAAAAGCAGGUUAUACAAACUGAAUUUUCAAGAUUAUUUGUAACAUCUUGAUCAAUAAAUUUAAAAUAAAAAAGGGUUAUUCUACCAAAUCGGCUGCCAAAAGCAAGAUAAUUGCUCAAAAUCCCUACCCCCUAAUUUUGGAAAAAGAAGUUUUUUCGAAUAUUUAUCACCGGUAUUUUACAGGAAAUAGACAAAAAAACAAAAAUAAUGCUUAGACCGUUCCAUUUUAUAUAAGACUAUUAUUUUUAUUAGGGAUCAAAUAAUUAUGCUUAAUUAGUUCAAGGUGUGAUUACAGUAUUUUUAUGUACUUUAAUAUGUAAAUUUAUAUUUAAAAAGAUUAAGGGAUGAAUAAGGUGCUUUACCCCUCAUAAUUUCUAAAGGUACGUCAUUCUUUUUAGCACCAAAAAAUAAAUAGUAGGAGUAGUUAUAUAUUUUAUGUUAAGGUACGUGCAACAAAAGUGGACGUCUUCUCAUAGUUAGUUAUCAUGCGUCAAUAUACUAAUAUAGGAAGAGCUGAAUAAUUUCUUUGAAUGAAUUUUUAACUUUUUCUUAAUUUUGGAAUCUGUUACGCCUUCAAAAUGUGCGGUCAAUAUUAAAGGAAAUAAUAAUUGCAAAUUGUUAUCUUAUUUGUUUGAGCACAUUAAAUCUAACGGAGAAUGACAAGAAAUCAAAUAGAUAAUGUUAGACUAGUUUUUUGGUGGUCAUUAGGUAUGCAUUUUAGCUGAUAUUGCACUUGACCUUUCAACAAGAAUCUUUUUCUUUUAAUUUCUUUUAUAUUUGGACAAACCUAAUAUUUUCUAUAGUCAUAUACAAAGUCAGAUUUAGUAUUUAAAUUUAAUGGGUUUAGCUUUUAGAAUUUUCAGUAUUUAACUCAUUAUACUAUUAAAAUUUAUGAGUUCAGAUCUAAUAUUUGUUAAUAUUUUACUCUAUGUAUAAAGUUAUGGGUUCAGAUGAAACUCUCUCGAGUAUACGUUAUCUCAUCGAUCACGUAUUAGUAUUAGAGUAUUAUUUUAUUCCUAGAUCAGUUUCUUGUCUCUUUAAAGUUGUAAACUAAACUAAUUUUUAUUCGCAAUAUGCCCAUAAAAGUUAUAUAAAUAAAGUUUGACAUAGACCAUGCUUCUCGAUGAUAAAAGAAUUCAAUAAAAGGAGAUACUUAUGAGAAACCGAACAGAGCAUGCAAUAUUUGAAUUUUAACGUGUUUCUAUCUAUUUCAUGGAGGUGACUGAUUAAAAUUUCAACUCUUAUUAAAUGAGAAAAAAGUAAAGGUCAACUUUCUGAAACCAUUCUAAACUAAUUGUUGAAAUUUCAUACCUAGUUUUGAAAGCUGCGACUUUGCUAACUCG
rnacentral:lncRNA from 1 species